CUUGGUGAUAGGGAAUCAAUUUCUUACAUCUGAUUUAACUAUACAUUUAAAAUAUGCCAAAAUGUAACAUGAAAUCUUGAUUAAAACAAUAAUUUGAUAUAUUCGCAAGAAAAAAACCAACGCGUUCAAUACUUAGGCUACUACAUGCAGCCCAAUCCAUCAGAAGCAAGAGUUAAGCCGAUAGAGUACAAAUAUAAGCCUUGUGUCAAAAUGUCUAAUUUUGGUUGCUAAGGACUGUAAACAAUAAAAUUGACAUAUAUUGUCAUUCUUAAACACUUAAUUUACUCAGAAGUUGAUUUAGAAUCUAAAUAUCAAUAGAUUUGUGGCAUGAAAAGUCUUAAAUUAUACAAUUCUGAGCUUGGUAAGUAUGCCAUAAGGUAGCAAUAAACAGUUAGGAAAAAAUAUUAAAAUUUGCCCUUAUAAAUUUUACCAUCCCCUUUUCAUUGCUUUCUUGCAAUAUCAAGCUUACUGUUUGUGUCAUAUAUGGGCAUAUGUAUGUAAUCAGAAUCUUCCAUAGAUUUUAUAUCCAGUAUAUAAAAUGGUAAAAUAUAAUUUCUUUUGGGUGUAUCCAUGGCAACAAUCUGCAUUUAUUUGUUAUAAAAUAUUGCAAAAAGGGGGGAAAAGAUGUCACAUAUUUCCCCAAAAUUUGGCUAAAAGUAGAAUUUCAAUCGCUUGAAGUAAUACCUUUUCUGAAACUGUGUACAUAUAUCAUUCAGCAAAUCCAAUGAAAAUCAUAUGUCUUUCAUCUCAUUUUUUUGUAAAAUUGCGUCAAAAACUUCGUGUAGAAAAAAAGUGUUUGUAAACAUUACAUUAAUUUCUGGACCGAUGGCCGGUCUAGCUAUGAAAAUACGGAUUGUCAAACAGAAAACAGCCCAUAAAACAUGUAAAAAAUAAUCUUGAUGCACUUAUAAACCAUCUUUGAAGGCUAAAUUAGCACUCUGCUGUCUAAAAAUGAAUUUUAUUACACAAUAACUUUCCUAUUUGAAAAAUCCACAGGGGCCAAAAUGCGAAACUAAACUCCUAACUGUGUAUUGCUACCUUAAUAGUAAAUAUUUUUUUCAAAUUCUCCCUUUUAACUUAUUUUCU
rnacentral:lncRNA from 1 species